UGUGUUGACUGGUGAUGCUGCCAAGACC
rnacentral:piRNA from 1 species